CGCGGCCUAUCAGCUUGUUGGUGGGGUAGAAGCCUACCAAGGCGACGACGGGUAGCCGGCCUGAGAGGGCGACCGGCCACACUGGGACUGAGACACGGCCCAGACUCCUACGGGAGGCAGCAGUGGGGAAUCUUGCGCAAUGGGCGAAAGCCUGACGCAGCGACGCCGCGUGGGGGAUGAAGGCCUUCGGGUUGUAAACCCCUUUCAGCAGGGACGAAGCGAAAGUGACGGUACCUGCAGAAGAAGCGCCGGCUAACUACGUGCCAGCAGCCGCGGUAACACGUAGGGCGCAAGCGUUGUCCAGAAUUAUUGGGCGUAAAGAGCUCGUAGGCGGACUGUUGCGUCCGCUGUGAAAAGCUGGGGCUUAACCCUGGCCUUGCAGUGGAUACGGGCAGACUAGAGGUAGGUAGGGGAGAAUGGAAUUCCCGGUGUAGCGGUGAAAUGCGCAGAUAUCGGGAGGAACACCGGUGGCGAAGGCGGUUCUCUGGGCCUUACCUGACGCUGAGGAGCGAAAGCGUGGGGAGCGAACAGGAUUAGAUACCCUGGUAGUCCACGCUGUAAACGUUGGGCGCUAGGUGUGGGGUCCUUCCACGGAUUCCGUGCCGCAGCUAACGCAUUAAGCGCCCCGC
rnacentral:rRNA from 1 species